GUGACUCUCCAACAACACUGCAAGCACAGGUGCUGCUUUGUCGUUGAUUGGAGGAACAUUUCACCACCAGUGAAAAUGUCUAUGGAUACCCAGACUGGAGGGACAGAGGGAUAGCCAAAGUCUUCUGGAUUUGGACUGCAGGUAAUCGUUGUUGACUCUGGAGUGUAGUUUUGGCUGUUUGGCAGAAAGCUGGCAUUGAUGCUGAGAGACUGCGCUGUCCAAGCCUGGCCGAGAGAGAGGCCGAGCUGGAAAGUGGCCUGGAUCAAUGGCUGUGGCUCCACACUCUCUCUGUGUGUACAGAAGCUGGGUAAAAUGAGCUGCUCUUGGGCUUCUGAGGAAAGUCUUGCUCAGCCUACCGUCUCUGAUUAAUACUGUCGUUCUGUCUUGAUGUCUACAAAGCUGCUGUCUUUCUUAGUGUGCCCCCUCCUACACUUCCUUUCAGCCUUCACUUUAGUGAAGUGUUUAGUUUAGUAUUUAGCCUAGGGUCUGACCAAAUGAAAAUUUUAUGAUUAGAUUAAAUAGAAAAUAAACAUCAAACAUCAGUAUUUAGUUUGUCCUCUCUUUACCUUUACUACAGUUUUCCUUCUUUUCAGAAGUCUGAAUUUCAGUUUUUCACAGGAGUCUGCAGGGAUGUUUUUCCACACCUCUAAAGUUCAGUCUUAGAAGUUGGGUGCAUUUUGUAUUUUCUGCUUCUAACAAUCCAAGUAAUCCCAAACUGGACUCUGGGGUGGUCAGUCCAUUGUUGUAUGAAUACCAGCACCUUCUUUGUUUGAUUUGCACUUUUUUUGUCCAUUUUCUUUUCUCAUUAAUGUCUUCUGGAUGGCUACAUAUCCUUUUAGACUCACAGUGUUGAGUUGCAAUAAUAAAGAAAAACAAACAGAUGAAGAACGUCUUGCAAUAUAAGUAAUGCACAAUUCAUGUGCAAAUGUGAAGACUUUGAUGUGAUUACCAACAACGGAACUGAGUUGUGCUGCAGUCUCCACUCAUUAGUGCUUUUUGUAAGCUCAACACAACGAUGUUGAGCACUUCAGUGAACAUCAAUGAAUGUGGGUCAGAUGUCUGUGAGGUCUUUAUGCUUUUGUGAUUUUAGCUUGCAGCAUUUAU